rnacentral:rRNA from 1 species
GAUGAAUGCUGGCGGCGUGCCUAACACAUGCAAGUCGAGCGGCAGCGCGGGUAGUUUACUACCUGGCGGCGAGCGGCGGACGGCUGAGUAACGCGUGGGAACGUACCCCAAAGUGAGGAAUAACUGCCCGAAAGGGUGGCUAAUGCCGCAUAUGCUCUUCGGAGUAAAGCUUUAUGCGCUUUGGGAGCGGCCCGCGUCGGAUUAGGUUGUUGGUGAGGUAAUGGCUCACCAAGCCGACGAUCCGUAGCUGGUCUUAGAGGAUGAUCAGCCAGACUGGAACUGAGACACGGUCCAGACUCCUACGGGAGGCAGCAGUGAGGAAUCUUCCACAAUGGGCGAAAGCCUGAUGGAGCAACGCCGCGUGCAGGAUGAAGGCCUUCGGGUUGUAAACUGCUUUUAUAAGUGAAGAAUAUGACGGUAACUUAUGAAUAAGCACCGGCUAACUACGUGCCAGCAGCCGCCGUAA